rfam:Musca domestica strain aabys unplaced genomic scaffold Scaffold19514, whole genome shotgun sequence.
CACCAGGUCCUUUUAAGGACCAAAGAAAAGAAAAAUAACGUUUUUC